rnacentral:rRNA from 1 species
UAGGGAAUCUUCCGCAAUGGGCGAAAGCCUGACGGAGCAACGCCGCGUGAGUGAUGAAGGUCUUCGGAUCGUAAAACUCUGUUAUUAGGGAAGAACAAAUGUGUAAGUAACUAUGCACGUCUUGACGGUACCUAAUCAGAAAGCCACGGCUAACUACGUGCCAGCAGCCGCGGUAAUACGUAGGUGGCAAGCGUUAUCCGGAAUUAUUGGGCGUAAAGCGCGCGUAGGCGGUUUUUUAAGUCUGAUGUGAAAGCCCACGGCUCAACCGUGGAGGGUCAUUGGAAACUGGAAAACUUGAGUGCAGAAGACGAAAGUGGAAUUCCAUGUGUAGCGGUGAAAUGCGCAGAGAUAUGGAGGAACACCAGUGGCGAAGGCGACUUUCUGGUCUGUAACUGACGCUGAUGUGCGAAAGCGUGGGGAUCAAACAGG